GGCUGUAGCUCAGUGGGGGAGCGUUUGCCUAGCAUGUCUGAGGCACUGGGUUCAAUUCUCAGCACCA
rnacentral:tRNA from 1 species